rnacentral:rRNA from 1 species
UGGGGGAUAUUGCACAAUGGGGGAAACCCUGAUGCAGCGAUGCCGCGUGAGUGAAGACGGCCUUCGGGUUGUAAAGCUCUGUCGCAGAGGACGAAAAUGACGGUACUCUGCAAGAAAGCUCCGGCUAACUACGUGCCAGCAGCCGCGGUAAUACGUAGGGAGCAAGCGUUGUCCGGAAUUACUGGGUGUAAAGGGAGCGUAGGCGGGAGGAUAAGUUGAAUGUGAAAUCUAUGGGCUCAACCCAUAGCUGCGUUCAAAACUGUUCUUCUUGAGUGAAGUAGAGGCAGGCGGAAUUCCUAGUGUAGCGGUGAAAUGCGUAGAUAUUAGGAGGAACACCAGUGGCGAAGGCGGCCUGCUGGGCUUUUACUGACGCUGAGGCUCGAAAGCGUGGGUAGCAAACA